UGACCUCAAAUCAGGUAGGACUACCCGC
rnacentral:ncRNA from 6 species